UAGGGAAUCUUCGGCAAUGGGGGGAACCCUGACCGAGCAACGCCGCGUGAGUGAAGAAGGUUUUCGGAUCGUAAAGCUCUGUUGUUAAGGAAGAACGAGUGUGAGAAUGGAAAGUUCAUGCUGUGACGGUACUUAACCAGAAAGGGACGGCUAACUACGUGCCAGCAGCCGCGGUAAUACGUAGGUCCCGAGCGUUGUCCGGAUUUAUUGGGCGUAAAGCGAGCGCAGGCGGUUAGAAAAGUCUGAAGUGAAAGGCAGUGGCUCAACCAUUGUAGGCUUUGGAAACUGUUUAACUUGAGUGCAGAAGGGGAGGGUGGAAUUCCAUGUGUGGCGGUGAAAUGCGUAGAUAUAUGGGGGAAAACCGGUGGCGAAGGCGGCUCUCUGGUCUAUAACUGACGCCGAGGCUCGAAAGCGUGGGGGGCGAACAGA
rnacentral:rRNA from 1 species